rnacentral:rRNA from 1 species
UACGUAGGUGGCAAGCGUUGUCCGGAUUUACUGGGCGUAAAGGGCGUGCAGGCGGUUUGUUAAGUGCAGGGUGAAAGCUCCCGGCUCAACUGGGAGAGGUCCUUGCAUACUGGCAGACUUGAGGGAGGCAGAGGAAAGUGGAAUUCCCGGUGUAGUGGUGAUAUGCGUAGAUAUCGGGAGGAACACCUGUGGCGAAGGCGGCUCACUGGUCCAUUACUGACGCUGAGGUGCGAAAGCGUGGGGGAGCAAACAGG